AGAGUUUGAUCCUGGCUCAGGAUGAACGCUAGCGGCAGGCUUAACACAUGCAAGUCGAGGGGCAUCGGGAGGGAAGCUUGCUUUCCUUGCCGGCGACCGGCGCACGGGUGAGUAACACGUAUGCAACCUGCCCUCUUCAGGGGGACAACCUUCCGAAAGGGAGGCUAAUCCCGCGUAUAUCGGUUUCGGGCAUCCGAGAUCGAGGAAAGAUUCAUCGGAAGAGGAUGGGCAUGCGGCGCAUUAGCUAGACGGCGGGGUAACGGCCCACCGUGGCGACGAUGCGUAGGGGUUCUGAGAGGAAGGUCCCCCACACUGGUACUGAGACACGGACCAGACUCCUACGGGAGGCAGCAGUGAGGAAUAUUGGUCAAUGGGAGAGAUCCUGAACCAGCCAAGCCGCGUGAGGGAAGACGGCCCUAUGGGUUGUAAACCUCUUUUGUCGGAGAACAAAACCCGGGACGAGUCCCGGACUGCGUGUAUCCGAAGAAAAAGCAUCGGCUAACUCCGUGCCAGCAGCCGCGGUAAUACGGAGGAUGCGAGCGUUAUCCGGAUUUAUUGGGUUUAAAGGGUGCGUAGGCGGUCCGUUAAGUCAGCGGUAAAAUUGCGGGGCUCAACCCCGUCGAGCCGUUGAAACUGGCAGACUUGAGUUGGCGAGAAGUACGCGGAAUGCGCGGUGUAGCGGUGAAAUGCAUAGAUAUCGCGCAGAACUCCGAUUGCGAAGGCAGCGUACCGGCGCCACACUGACGCUGAGGCACGAAAGCGUGGGGAUCGAACAGGAUUAGAUACCCUGGUAGUCCACGCAGUAAACGAUGAAUGCUGGUUGUCCGGGUCGAAUGAGACCUGGGCGGCGAAGCGAAAGCGAUAAGCAUUCCACCUGGGGAGUACGCCGGCAACGGUGAAACUCAAAGGAAUUGACGGGGGCCCGCACAAGCGGAGGAACAUGUGGUUUAAUUUGAUGAUACGCGAGGAACCUUACCCGGGCUCAAACGGGAGUGGAAUGGACCAGAGACGGUUCAGCCUACGGGCCGCUUCCGAGGUGCUGCAUGGUUGUCGUCAGCUCGUGCCGUGAGGUGUCGGCUUAAGUGCCAUAACGAGCGCAACCCCCGCCGGCAGUUGCUAACGGGCAAUGCCGAGGACUCUGCCGGGACUGCCGCCGCAAGGCGUGAGGAAGGCGGGGAUGACGUCAAAUCAGCACGGCCCUUACGUCCGGGGCGACACACGUGUUACAAUGGGCGGUACAGCGGGAAGCCAGGCGGCGACGCCGAGCGGAACCCGAAAGCCGUUCUCAGUUCGGAUCGGAGUCUGCAACCCGACUCCGUGAAGCUGGAUUCGCUAGUAAUCGCGCAUCAGCCAUGGCGCGGUGAAUACGUUCCCGGGCCUUGCACACACCGCCCGUCAAG
rnacentral:rRNA from 1 species